GCUACAGUACCCAGGUAUCAAGCCGCAUCCUCUUCACAGCUGAGCCCUCAGCCUCAGGCUCUGGGGCUGGGCGCAGCAGGCCCAGUGUGGGCCCGAAGUCCCCCCGUCCGUCAUCCCGGUCUCCCGUCUCAUAGGAUCCCCCGGCUGGGCUGCUGAGACCAUCGCCAGGCUCAGGGCGGGCAGCUGGGAACACAGCUGGAGGGGGAGGCGCAGGGCUGCGCUCACGGCUUGGGGACACCGGUUCUGACUUGAUGCUGAUGUGGGGGUGGGUGGUGACUGUGAGGGCAGCACCCACGUGGGGCAGGGGGCUGCCCGGGAUGAGGUUGCUGAGAGAUACAGGGACCAGGUGGGACUGUUGCUGAGGUGGCUGUUGCGGCUGCUGAGGCUGCUGUGGCUGUGGCUGCUGUGGCUGCGGUGGCUGCUGCUGUGGAGGCUGUGGCUGCUGCGGCUGCUGGGGCUGCUGUGGCUGUUGCCAGGCAGUGACAUUGCCUAGCGACAGCCCCCCAGGUGAACUAAAGGCUGGUAAGGAGGAGAGCUCUGCACUGGUCAACUGGUAAUCUGCAUGGAGGAAAAGUGAG
rnacentral:lncRNA from 1 species